rnacentral:piRNA from 2 species
UAAGUUCGUAGUGUUUCCAGCAGACUUA